GUUGCUUAAUCCUUGCAAAUUUGCUUCUAUGUUGUGCUAGAAGGAACAGAGUUAAGAGCUGCUAAUUCUCUUCAUUCUAGAACCAAACCUAAAAGACUAGGCAGAUAAAGCAGGCAUAAAAUGGAGGCAGCAAACCAAAACUAAGGAGGGUGUCAGACUUCUAGUUUCAUGUGAUAUGCCCACAUAUGAUAACUUUUAGAAAAUAAAAAAUAAAAAUGUUAAACCCUAAACUCUAAUAAACGCUAAACCCACACUAGGGCCAUUUGUAUAUAUUUUGAGAAUCAAUGAAAGUUGAUUAAAAAAAAAAAAAAAAACUAAA